AGUUUCAUUUCAAAUAUUAAAUUACGCUUCGAAGGGGAGUCUUUCCAUAUUACUCACCUUUAAAAACGCUGCAGAGUGAGUGGGUGGGUGAGAUCUGCAUCAUGGCCUCUAAACAUUCCCAGUUUAGAAAAUUGUGAGUCUUAGUGUCUGGCACGAGAGACAUCCUCUUCUGAAUCUUCAUUCUUCUUAACAAGUGGAAGAAAACAUCUGGCAAGAGAUUUCCAAUAUUAAAAACAUCGCUUUGGGAAUAAACUGUUAUCAGUUUGAAAAGGAUGUUUAGGAGGGGGAAAAUAAUAAUAAUAACAACAACAACAACAACAACAGCAGCAGCAGCAGCAGCAGCAGCAGC